rnacentral:rRNA from 1 species
GAACUUAAGCAUAUCAAUAAGCGGAGGAAAAGAAACCAACAGGGAUUGCCUCGGUAACGGCGAGUGAAGCGGCAACAGCUCAAAUUUGAAAUCUGGCCGCAAGGUCCGAGUUGUAAUUUGUAGAGGAUGCUUUUGGCGAGGUGCCUUCCGAGUUCCCUGGAACGGGACGCCAUAGAGGGUGAGAGCCCCGUACGGUAGGACCACCAAGCCUCUGUAAAGCUCCUUCGACGAGUCGAGUAGUUUGGGAAUGCUGCUCUAAAUGGGAGGUGUACGUCUUCUAAAGCUAAAUACCGGCCAGAGACCGAUAGCGCACAAGUAGAGUGAUCGAAAGAUGAAGAGCACUUUGAAAAGAGGGUUAAAAAGUACGUGAAAUUGUUGAAAGGGAAGCAUUCAUGACCAGACUUGGGCUUGGUUGAACAUCCGGCGUUCUCGCCGGUGCACUCUGCCAGUCCAGGCCAGCAUCAGUUUGCCCCGGGGGAUAAAGGCGGCGGGAAUGUGGCUCCCUUCGGGGAGUGUUAUAGCCCGUCGUGUAAUGCCCUGGGGCGGACUGAGGAACGCGCUUCGGCACGGAUGCUGGCGUAAUGGUCAUCAAUGACCCGUCUUGAAACACGGACCAAGGAGUCGUCUUCGUAUGCGAGUGUUCGGGUGUCAAACCCCUACGCGUAAUGAAAGUGAACGUAGGUGAGAGCUUCGGCGCAUCACCGACCGAUCCUGAUGUUCUCGGAUGGAUUUGAGUAAGAGCAUACGGGGCCGGACCCGAAA